UACGGGGGGAGCAAGCGUUGUUCGGAUUUACUGGGCGUAAAGGGCGCGUAGGCGGCCACCGCAAGUCGACUGUGAAAUCUCCGGGCUUAACCCGGAAAGGUCAGCCGAUACUGCGGGGCUAGAGUGCAGAAGGGGCAACUGGAAUUCUCGGUGUAGCGGUGAAAUGCGUAGAUAUCGUUUGGAACGCCAAUGGUGAAAACAAGUAGCUGGGGAUGUGCCGACGCUGAGACACGAAAGCCAGGGGAGCGAACGGG
rnacentral:rRNA from 1 species